UACAGAGAGUGCAAACGUUGUUCGGAAUUACUGGGCUUAAAGAGCACGUAGGCGGCAUCGUAAGUGUCUGGUGAAAUCCCACGGCUCACCCGUGGAACUGCCCGGCAUACUGUGAUGCUAGAGUGUGGUAGGGGAGAGCGGAACUCCAGGUGGAGCGGUGAAAUGCGUAGAUAUCUGGAGGAACACCGGUGGCGAAGGCGGCUCUCUGGUCCACAACUGACGCUGAGGUGCGAAAGCUAGGGUAGCGAAC
rnacentral:rRNA from 1 species